rnacentral:lncRNA from 1 species
CUGAACGAGAUGGAGUUGAGAAAAAUAAUGCUUUUAUUCGCCACCUGGUGGGCGUUCAAAGAAAGCUUAGGUCAGGACUUAUACCAUGAUCAAGGGUCUUUUGAUUUCAGACUCUCGUGGUGUCAAAUUGUAAGUACCAACUUGGUCCAGUAUUUGCGACUUCUUCACGUCGUUUUACUAGUUUAAUUAUUUGGAAUGUAAGCAUUCACUAGAUCGAAUGAUUGCUUUUGUUAUCUUCUCUUAUUAUUUCUGUAUUUGAAUAUUAAAUUACGCUGGGGAUAGUUAAUUAUAAUCAAAUGUACGAUAUUGGGUAAUAUUUUUUUGAUAAGGUUUUUUACAAGUAUGUUUGUCACAUUAACAUUAGGUGUUACAUUUCAUUAUUACAUUCUUUUACGUUACUUGUGUUUUUCUACUCUUUAAUUUCAGAUUUUGAUGGUUGUUUUUAUGAAUUUUGUGUCCCAGAAUAAUUUCCACUGCUUGUAUGUUCCUGAAAUAUGGAAUUUGUAUUAGGUAUUCCCGAUUAGAAUAUUGGUGUCAAAUGUUCUGGUGUUCUCUUCCACUACCUGUCAAAUACAAGCUGAUUGUAGCGAAGACAUUAGUUUGAGUUAAUUUUUAAAAAUUUGUGACCUAAGUUUAUGUCUUGUGCUGGUCACUCAAGUGGUGAACCUCCAUUGAGUUUUCGUAAAGUUUUCUUAUUCUAGUGGAUCUCGAAUUAGAAUAUCCUACUAAUCUCUUCUAUGGUAACACAUUACAUAUGUAUUGUUCUAUAUUAUAUAUAUCAAUUAUAAUAUUUACCUUUGUCAUCAGGAUUUUGAGGUGAAGCUAGGAAAGGAACUUACUACUUAGGGCUCUGUGUAGAGUAAGUAAUUUAGUAUGAAGAGUAAGUAAGAAAGUUAUUUGCAUUCAAUUGAUUGGGUGCAGAUUUAAACCAGAUUUGUUUUACAAUAUUUUUGCUUGUCUUUCAAAGAGUUCAUUAGUGUGGAUUGUGGAAUGCUUGGAUAUGUCUUGAACAGUUUUGGUAUAAUUCCUAUUACAGCAGGUAUGACAGGUUUUUCUGGUUCUAGACUGCUAGAGCAUCUCAAACUAAUGGGUGUAUAUUGGAUUGGUUGACUAGGUUGUUGACAGCUGUUAAGACAUAGCACUUGUCAAGGAUUUUUCUACUUGGGCUUUGCAUUUUGUUUCAUAUUGGCGGUAAAUUUUCUUGGGUUCGAAUGUUGCUCAUUAGUAAGGUGGGCAUUAUUUUAUUCGUUUUAUUUUACAUGUGCUUUUUAAUUUAAUUUUACUUUUAUUUAGUAAAGUCCCUGAUUAUCACAAUUUAUUCUACGUUAUUAAGAUCGUAAGAACAUGUUAAUGAAUGUACUAUUUCCUUUUCAGGUAAAUCAUCAGUGAAUAUAGGUCAAUUAGGCGAAUAUUGGUAUAUGCAUUUAUAUCUCCGAUGCAUUUCCUAACCAAGUCAUGGUAACGAUAUUCGUUAACGAAGUCCUUCCCAAAACAUGUAUGAAAUACACGAAGCGAAAUACGGAAAACGGUAGUAAAAAUGUGAAUGUUAAUUAUUGUUUAUCUAUCCCGUUUUCAGUGCUGGAAAAUCUCGUGCUAAACUUUAUGGAUAUAUGUUAGAAACGAAAUUUGUUGAGGCAAAUAACACUAUUGACAAGGUUGAAAGUGAAUCGUAAUAGGAAGUUGCCAUUUAUUUGGGAAAGAAACAUGAAUGCAAGUUGGAAGGGUUUCCGAAGAUUUCUGUUUACUUUUAUUUUACAUCUGUGGUGUUCUAAAGAAAAGCAUAUCUGUAUUUCUCUUGUAUUAUGUGGCAUUGUUUUCUGUUGAUUUUUGAUAAGUUUGUCGUGUCUCUGGAGUUAAUUUCUUCGUCAGAGAAAUUACUUUGCUUUCCGGAAAGGAGGGCUUUGUCAAGCUUUAUGAUAAUAUCUUUGCCAGAGGGUCGUUUAUAAAAGCUUCAUUGGUGAGUAGAUACUUCAACUUGUAUUAAAAUGUACCGGUGUAUUAACUGUGCCUUUGGUGAUAUAUCCGGAGGGCUAUAUCAACCAUUGUAUCCUACGAAUUUUCAUCUCUAAUGUUAUAUGCAAUGUCUGUUAUAUGUGUGGAAAUUCUUAACAAAAAUAAACUUAAUGUACGUUAUAAA